rfam:Gossypium arboreum cultivar AKA8401 contig_18874_1, whole genome shotgun sequence.
CUUACAGAGUUUAUUGGCAUUCUGUCCACCUCCCCAUCAUGGAAAAAGUCCGUAUUUUUCCCCUCUGGUUUUUCAUGGAGGUGGGCAUACUGCCAACUGGGCUCUGUUGG